rnacentral:rRNA from 1 species
CCUACGGGUGGCAGCAGUGAGGAAUAUUGCUCAAUGGGCGAGAGCCUGAACCAGCCAAGUCGCGUGAAGGAUGACUGUCCUCCGGGCUGUAAACUUCGUUUAUAGAGAAAUAAAGUCAGGCAAGUGACCCUUCUUGUAUGUACUUUACGAAUAAGGAUCGGCUAACUUCGUGCCAGCCGCCGCGGUAAUACGGAGGGUCCGAGCGUUAUCCGGAUUGAUUGGGUUUAAAGGGAGCGUAGGUGGGUUGUUAAGUCAGUUGUGAAAGUUUGCGGCUCAACCGUAAAAUUGCAAUUGAUACUGGCAGUCUUGAGUACAGUUGAGGAAAGUGGAAUUCGUGGUGUAGCGGUGAAAUGCUUAGAUAUCACGAAGAACUCCGGUUGCGAAGGCAGCUUACUGGACUGCAACUGACGUUGAUGCUCGAAAGUGUGGGUAUCAAACAGGAUUAGAUACCCCAGUAGUC